rfam:Triticum aestivum genome assembly, contig: Triticum_aestivum_CS42_TGACv1_scaffold_531230_6DL
CAUAUACUCCCUCCGUCCGUAAUUACUUGUCAUCAAAAUGGAUGAAAAUGGAUGUAUCUACAACUAAAAUACAUCUAGAUACAUCCAUUUCAAUGACAAGUAUUUCCGGACGGAGGGAGUAUAUA